GUGAGAUUUAAGAAAAGCCUCAGUAGGGACAAAGAUACAGACUUUCCUUUCUUUGAAGACAAGAAAGAAUACUCAGAAUUCUGAUAAUCAGUGGUACAGAAUGGAUCAUUUCCUUACGUAAGAAAUACAACUUAACUUGAAACAACACGAAGAUCAUACUUAAUGUUAAAGCACAAGAGUUAUAUGUAUUAACAUAAAAGUAUAAGAAUGAUUACUCUUAAAAUUAAGUUUCCUGAAAUUUUAGGGAAACUUCAAUGAGAAUAGUAACUGUGCACUCAUUUGUUCUUUUGGAUAUCUCCUGACACUUCUAGUCACCAGCCUAAGAUCCUCUCAGACCACUCUUUGCUCAGUCACUGAUGAACAACCUGCUUCCUGUAGUGGAAGCUGGCAGGACCCUGCUCCAGCUGUGCUCACCAUCAGUUCCUGUGCUAUGGAGACCAGCAGGCAAGUUCCUACUUGGAUUUUGGAUCUUAAAUAUUUCAUUAAAACUUGUCUUUACUUUGAACAGGACUUCAGUGUGUCUAAAACUCACUUUAUUUCAAUGUUAACAUUUCCUUCCAAAGUGAUAUAAUUUGAAGUUUAGAAUUGGUGUUUGGAUUUUCCUUUUCAUUUUUCUCACUUAAAAAUUAUAUCCUUAGAUAGGGAGGAAAAGAAACCCCAUUAUUUCCCACAAUUGCCACUUUAAAAUAAGAGACAAGAGUGAGAGAAUAUACAUCAAAAAGACUAGCAUUUUUUAAAGAAUUUUUUAUUUUUAUUUUUUUAGUUGUGAUAGGUCUUUAUUUAUAUGUGGUGCUGAGAAUUGAACCCAGUGCCUCACACAUGCCAGGCAAGUAUACUAUGGCUGAGCCCCAGCCCCAGCCCCAAGAUUAGCAUUUUUAAUAAUUGUUAGUUUUUUGUUGCCAUUACCAGACUACCUGACAAGAACAACUUAGAGAAAGAAAGAUUUAUUUUGGCUCUCAGUCUCUAAGACUUCACCCCAUGGGAGGCUGUCUUUAAGAUAGAAACAGCAUGGAAAGGUAUGGUGGAGGAAAGCUGCUCAGAUCAUGGUAACCAGGAAGCAGAGAGGGUAGUGGAGAGGAAGGAAAGAAGGGGCCAGGGCACACCUCAAUGACCUACUUUUCUUCAACUAAGUUCCACCUCCCUGUAGUGUAUUCAGUUCUCCAUGGAUUAAUCUACUGAUGAGGUCAGAGCCCUCAUGAUCCAACCAUUGCAUAAAAGCCUCAUCUCUGCACCUUGCUGCAUUGGAGAUCAUGCUUUCAACACAUAGACUUUUGGGGAACAUUCUAGAUUCAAACCAUAACAGCUUCUUUUUUCCCUGAACUAACUCUUCAGUAGUCUUGCCUGAAUAUAUGCACAAAUGUUGAUUCCAUGUUGAUUGAUGCCCAGCAAAAUUAUGCAAGAUUCCUAAGUCCUGUGUUGGAGAAAAUAGUCAUUGUGUACCCAGAAGAGGGGAAACCUUUUUUCCUUGAUAGGUUCCUGAAAACUGAUAUAAUUGUUUAAUUACUAACCACAUGCCUGGCUCUCAGUAAAAGUAUGAAGUUGUUUAAAAGAAUUUUUUAGUUUUAUUUUUUUAGAUGUUGAUAGACCUUUAUUUAUAUGUGGGCUGAUAAUUGAACCCAGUGCCUCACACAUUUACUUUACUUUUCCACUCUUCAUGAUAAUAGUUUUCCAGCUCUCCUCAGGUAGUACAACAAAGUUUGAGGUUAUUCCUUCCCAGGGUCCUUGCUUUUUGAAUAGGAGACCUUGGGAUUUGAGGUGUGUCAGGGACAUGGCAGACAUGAUGCUGGCUGCCUUCCAUAUGUGAUUGUUAUGUGGCUUACUCUGUGUGGAUGAAUAGGAAUGGUGCUGAGAAAUGGAUUAAGUGAAUUGUCAGGCUCACACAGGUAGCUAGGUUUGCAGGUUUAGUGACUUGAGAGCCUAUGUUCUUUGUAUUAAAACAUUUUAAGGUUUGAAUCAUCUGUGCUGGAAGUUCAGGCUUUGUGCCAGUCCCACAGGAAAAACACAUUAGGCUGGAAGCAUUACUCUACCUACUGCCCUUCAGAUUACAUGAGGUGGAUUUAAUUAGUUCUGCUAACUGGUUUUGUAUAGCUGUAACUUAAGUCUUUUUAAUGUAGGCUUAUUUCAGAGACUUCAAUCUUUGUUUUGAACAUAUUCAAUUAAAUUCAAUUUAGCAAACAUUUAUUGAAUGCCUGUUCUUUGCCAGGCACUGUACUAGAUGCUGGUGGGUACAAAGAUAGUCCAUUUAGGGAGAGAGACAUUACAAGACCUAAUAAUUAUAAUACAAUUCACUGAAUGAUAUAAUAGAGGCAUAUGCAAGGGACUGAGGGAACAUAUGAGGAAACAAUUAAUUCUGUCCUGAGGGAAGAUGUCAGGCAGUGCUAUAUUGAAUCAGAACCUCAAAGGACAAGAGAUCAGAAAUUUCCAGAAGAGGCUGAGAGUUCGUUUCAGGUGAUGGAACAGCAUGAGGAUGUGUAUGAAUAUGCCUGGGAUGUUUAGGGGACCGAAAUAAUGGCAGAUUGUAAAACCAGUCACAGAUUCUUCCCCUUCGUGCAUAUAACCACCCACAAUAAGACUUCUAUAGGUUCUUCCAAUAAUAAGUGGAUUCUCUUGAGUUGAUCAUGGUCUAUGUAUAUCAGCAAACAUGAAACAAACAGAGCCCUGAAGAGUUCUUAUGCCCUAGGGUUUCUGGAACCCUGAGGCUGCAUUGUGAAUGAGCCAGGAGGAUGAAUGGCCACAUACAGGAGAACUGAGGGUCUGGCUGACAGUGUUUGAAACACUAGACUUGUGAUGAGAUCAUCUUAGAUCAUCUAGUUACCGGCUGAUCCACCAUUGGCUCAUAAACAAUGGGAGAGUCCAGGGAGAAUCAGUUGUUAGUUCACAUUUCUUCUGAUCCAUCUAGGUUGUUAGCCCAGACAGAAUGCUCCAGAUGACUCCAGACUUCCGAGCUAAAUAAUUGGGUCUUUUGUUGUCCAGCAAAGCUGGUACACAGAGGGUAUAUGUAGAGUACAGGGAAUACUGGAAGAGGAGGUGGAGAUGAUGAAGAGGAGUAGCAUUUAUGGUAUCAUGCUUUGGAGUUCAGAAUUUUUCUAAUACCAAGUUUUUCAAACUUCAUUAAUUCAUAUAACACUUUCAUCUUUUUGAAAUGUCUUCAAGCUACCUGAAAGGUUUUUCUUUAAAUUGCUCAAUUUUUGUGCUGAAAAUUAUUUUGAAAGUAAACUUACUAUUAACAUGACAUCCAAGUCUGAUGUGUUAGUUCUGUUUUUAUUAACCUAUUAAAUGUGUAAAUAUUUAAUCUGUUGAUAUGUUUGCUAUUAAAUAUCAUCUUAGAUAUUAUAAAUGGUGCUUUUUAUGAUUUUCUGCUUUAAUCAGUAGGAAUCAAGAAUAGUGAGGAGAAUAAUUGGAGACAGAGAAGCUACUGAAGAGGUCCAGGUGGGAUAUGGUGGGUGGUAGACUCAGAGACUUCAGGUUUGUUCCGGAAGAAGAGAAUGGAUCUGGUGACAGACUUGAGGCAUGUGGGGUAGAAAUAGGGAGUGUGAAGGAGAGGAAGAAGUGCAAAUACAGCUGAGGCAACUAGUUCAAUAGUUUGGCCAUUGAGUGGAUACUGAAACUAUUAAGAAAGGGAAAGGAGGAAAAAAAAUAAACAGUCACCAGAUGCAGUGUUACACACCUGUAAUCCCAGUGACUCAGGAGGCUGAGGCAGGAAGAUUGCAAGUUCAAGGCUAACCUCAGCAAUUUAGUGAGGCCCUAAGCAAGUUAGUGAGACUGUUUCAAAAUAAAAAAUAAAAAGGGCUGGGAAUGUGACUUGUAAUAAAGCACCUCUGGAUUUAAUCCCCAAUACCAAAAAUAAAUAAAUAAACAAACACAAUUGAUUUGAAAUACUUGUUGAGCUUGAGAUAGUAGGUCAUUUGAAAACAGGUGUACUAGGCAUUUGGAUAUGUAGAUAUGGUCUUAAGAUAUUAUUUUUGAAGUCAUCAAUAUAUUUAGGUGGUAGGUAGUUGAAGUUAUAGGAGUUGAUGAUGUCAUCUAGAGGAAGUAAUUAGUAGAGAGGUGUUCAGCUGUCUUACCCUCACCCAGACUCUUAAGAAACACAUUGUACUCCAGCUAGAGAUAGUGAGCGGUUUGUAUGGGUGAUGAUGGAGGGUACCUCUGUACAUGGAAAAUGUAGACUGUUUGAUUUUGAUGGAGUGCCUCCACUCUUUGUUGAUUUAGAGUGAAUUGAAGGUAGGACCAAGGAUGAGGAAUUAGUGAAGAGAAAAAAGUAGACUGAGAGGCUGGCUUGUCUAAGAGGGAGAGAACUGUUAUAGAAAUGAAGGAACUUUAGGAUGAAAGGGCAACCCUCAGUGCCAAACGCUGCAGAGAAAUCCAGUAGUAUGAAGAUUGUUCUUUAAUAAGAGCUGGUUCCUCAAAGUACAAUAGCCAGGAUAUAUUGGAACAGAGAAAAGGUUUGGGUGAGUGAUUUAUGUAGGACUGUUUUGUGUUUGAAAUACUCCAUAAGCCUUAAAUAUUCAAGUCCAACAGAAUUUGUUAUUGUACUCUAUCAGGCUUGAAAAUCAAUGUGGUUUUAAAAAAUCUUCUUUCUCUGUCCAUAGUCAGUGUCUUAGAAAAGACAUUGUCUUGGAAAGAUUUGGUAAGCACCAUUAUCCUGAUCAUAGUGAAAAGUAAUGUUUGAGCCUGUACUUAGGAAAUAAUGCUAGAGAUAAGGAUGCUGACGAACAUCUUUUAUAUGAUCACUCCACAUGUGGACCUCCUGCCUCUGGCACCCUUGGUUUCCAGAAGCAAGUUACCUGCUUUAUGUUGUUUUGGGUUUAUGGAAACAACAUUCUUUAUUGGCAGAAUUGGAAAUCCAUUAGCUUACUUGGUUCUCAGAUAAGUUCUAUACUCAUAUUAAUAAUUUCUUUUGAUAUUAAUACUAUUUUAAAAAUGAAUGAAUUUUUAUCUGGCUUUGUCUGGAGCAAAGGUCCCAGAUCAGGGCAGCAGAAUUUCCUUAGACAUGAUUUUGUACCACCCAUCCUACUCAGGGAAGUCUCUGCAAUUCAUUUGACAUGUGAUGGUGGCUUCACCCUAAAUGUGCCCUGAAAGCAUUCCUGCUGUGCCCCUUCCGUACAAGUUCAAACACAUCAUGGGAAGUGAACAAGUGGAGACCCAGCUUUCCUGGAAGGAAUCAAGAAAAUCUUGCCUCACCCAGCUCCACCUGGGCACUGAUGUCCGCUUCAGGAAAUUUGACCACCCGUGGAAUAGAGACUGUUGUCCUGCUCACUUGGCACCUUCCUCCUUUUCUCCUCUAAACUCCCCAGUGCCCUCUUCAUGCUGCAUUCUAAGUUUUCCCAGAGAAGGGAAAUUGCUCCAGGACCUUUUAUAAAUGAAAGAAGCGGUGUCUUUCACUGUAGAUUCAUCAGGGCAGCUGGAUUUAAUUAUCUACAAUUAAAUGUGGUACUGUGUUGACUGAGGCAGGAGAAUGACACAUUUUAGAACAACGAAGCAGUCCAAAGCUAGACCUACAGAUUAUUGUAUUCAUUUGGGCUUGUUUUAAACAAAGAUAUUGAAAUGCUAAAAGAAAAUGGGUGUAUAACAAGGAAGUUAAGACAUAAAAAUAAAAGGAAAAGGAAAGUCUUUUUGCUUUUCCCUUGCUACAGUCUUUCUAAUUCCAUUUUCUGCUCCAGGAUAAUGAGUGCAUUUUAAGUAAAACCUGAGUGCUCUUUUUGCUCCCUGUCUUCCAACUCCUGCAAAUACCAGUUCAGCCACUCUUUCAGAUCCACUUCAAGGAAACAUAGGCAUGAAAACUAUCCCCCCCCCCAUCCCCCCCCCGCCCCGCCCCCGUUUGUCUGAACUGACCGCAGUUUUGCAUCACACGCUGGGUCCAGUUGCUGGAGUGGGGAACCAAGAGCCCGUGAGCAAGCACUUAGCUGAGUGAGACAGGCGGGCCGUGUGGAAGGAUGUAGGUGAGCCAGAAACUAAUGGGAAAAAUAGGGGGUUGUCACUAAUUUUGAUGUGGGGAUAUCUGAAAAGCUCUUCUGCAUGCCAGGGUAUUUGAAUAUUUGGCAAACAGCUGGCUGGGCUCUGGGAGAGCGCCUCUCGAUUCGCCUCGUCAGAUGUUCAAAGAUAAAAUGAGGCAGCCUGCACGCCAGCACAUAGCUCAUAGCCUUGCAGUCAGUUUUGAAUUUAGAUUUGAAUUGUGAUAUCAAUGUCAUGGUGGCACAUGCUUUGAGAAAGUACUUACAGAGAAUAAUUGAAAGAUUCAGUGUGAAGCUUCUGAAAGCCGUAAUUUAAAGUUCCAGAAGCCUCCAUAUUACUCUCACCAUUAAAAUUUAAAGUGACAGAAGCCCAAUUAUGUAUGGUUAUUUUCUUAAAUAAAAUCAUAUUUCUCACCCAAGUGAAAGAUUCAUUGCUGCCCACUAAUCUCUGUCAGGAGAACCAAUCUCGAUAGCGUCCAGUGUAGGCAGCGAAGACCGAAGCUUUAUCCUAGGGACAAUGGAGCGGCACUGGGUGGGGGGAAGCCAAGCUGGAAGGUCUCCAUGGAGGAAGCUCACUUUCGGGAGGCUGAUUUGCAUGAUAAUCACCAUUAUGGAUCCUCUCUGGUGCCAGCCUCCACACUUAACCAAAUGCAGUAUAACUUUAAGAGCAGCUGAGAAGCCCGAGAAGGGGCCCUAGCACACAUUUUGCAAAGCCUGAAUGACGUCAAAACCUGCUAGUUAUGAGGAGGCUGCAGUUGUAAAGCUGAACCACGCAGGGGAGUGGAGACUUGGAACAUAACUUGUAAACCUGAUCCAUGAUAUAACACUGGACACUGUUGAAAGAUAUGUAGUGUCUCCUCUCUUCUUUUAACUCAAAGAAAUCUGUUUACCAGAAGGAACCUUGUCUUAUUAGGACUUCUGUGGCCACUGAAAUUAUGGCGUGAAAAUACAUCUGUGGAAACUUUCCACAGAAACAUUUCCAGUGUUGAAAUGUUAGUCUCUGUCAGAUAAGAAUAUGGAGCCAAAUUUUUAGACUAUGACUCUUUCCACCGAUUUAUUUGGUCUGUUUGAUUUUACUUUACAUUGCACUGUGAUUUGGGGAAUAUGGUAUAAUGGUAGCCAGAACUGCCAUGAAAAGUUAUACAGGGCCAGUCAAGCUUAAACCACUGUUAUUUAUGAAAAACUUUAUUCCUCAGAGUUCCUGGGGACAAAUAAGCUUGGGAAUCAACUAUUAUCAUGAUGUAUGACAUUGAAUGAUACAAUAUAUAUAUCUAUUAAUACCAUUCUAAGCGAUGUCUUAUAAGCAACAAAUCACAUUAUUUCUCAAAAAUUUCACAGUUUGAUAGAACAUUUAUAAAUAAGUCUUACUUCUGCUAAGUUUUUGUCCUGACUUUAGUAUAACCAGCCCUUCAGCAGUUUGGAGUUUUAUUUUUUGUUUUCUGCAUUUAUCCUUAGGAUCAAUCCACUUUUUACAAUUACAUAUUACUCUGUGAUAUGAGCUUUAUUUCUGAAACUUCCUUCUCUUUGUUCAUGACUCAGUAAGAAGCAUGCAUCCACAUUCACUUAUGCCCAUGAUUCCAUCCUUGUGUUUAGACUCUUGCUGUAAAUUAUUUGUUUUCUUUCAUUAUUUUUAUUGUUAACCUUUUCUUAACCUCUCCCUUAAAAAUUAAAAAAAAAAAUCCUUACUUAAAUUUCCUAUUUUGUCUUCUUUCUUUCGAUUCUCCUUGACUCGUCUACUUUCUUGCCAAUGCUUCUUGCCAUUCACUAUUAAACUUUUUGCAAUUUGGAUUCAGCAGCCUCUGAUGUACUUAGACUACUUUCUGAGGCAAAGACUACUUAACAGACCACUUUUUCUCACCCUGCCAUAGAGGGAGAGUGACUUAUCUAAUAGGUAAAUUUUGGGAGAAUAUCUGGGCCACCUUAGCUUAAUGUCAUAUUUCUAUGUGGAAAAGAGCCUGCCUAGCAAGUGCUCACAUUAUUCCUGAGGCAAGGGCCCACCCCAGCUGUUGCUGUCCUGAUUUACCUGGAUGGUGAAUUCCAUAGUUCAGAUAGCCAGGUGUGUGUUGCUCUUCACACAACUGCCUCCUCCGUGGCUUCAAUCAGUAAUAAAGCUCAAAUUCUAGUCUCCCAUCUGUUUUAUUUUCAUAUGGUUUCUUAAAAUUUAGAACUAUUUUGUGUGUUUAUGUAUUUUAUUUAUAUCACAUAACAGAAAUGUACAUAACUAUGUGUAAUCUCUCAACUCUGGAUGUUUAGAUCACUUAACAUUUUUGCUAUUACGAACACUGUUACAGUGAACAUGGUGGUGUUAUUAUUUUUUGUGAACUUGUGCUACUGUUCCUAUAGCAUAGAUUCCUAGAAGUGGAUAUAUCAUAAGAUUUAAUUGAUUAAUAAUAAGCAGACACUCAGGUUGGAAAGGAUUCUCAGAGAGCCCAGAGUUUAUCCCACACUCCCAGAAAGGAUAUUUUCUUCUUGCUGUGACUUUGAAAAGUACAGAGAACAAGACUCCAUGUUCUAUCCAUAAUGCCUUCCAGCAUUAUAUAAAUAUACACAUUAUGUGAUAAUUCCUGGCCAUUUAACAUGGCCAGAUUUUCUACUCAUGCUGCACUUGUUUCUAAUAGAAAUAUGCUUCCAUGUGCCCUGAGUGGGAAAAUGUUCAAAAAUGUGACAGUCAACCAAGCACAUAUCUGCAGUACCAAUCUCACUGAUGCUACGGUCAGUAACUGCAAAUGCUCCAAAUAAAUUCUAUAUGCUCUGGAGGGGACCACCUGAAGAAAUCAGGAUGCCACAGCUAUACCAAGUUGCUUCUAUCAAAAUGGCACCAUAAAAGACAUGAUGGGAGUCCUACUCUUCUGGCCCUUGGAGGCAGAAGACUAAGUCCUACAGUAAUGCUCUUGUGAGUCAGGUUGACAAACUGAUCAGGCAACACAAAAUAAGGGAUUGUCAAGUUAUGGAAGUGCCAGAUAGUUGUAUUAGUAUAUACUGUAGAAUAGGGAAUUUGCAUUUUUUUUAUACUGCAUGGAGAAUAGAUGUGGGAGAUUAGUUCACUCUGGUGUCCAAGACUGUAAACCUAUCCCUCAGAAUGGUCCUCAGCAAUCUGUUUUUACAUCUUGGUUCUCUGUCUUGUAGAAGUGGGUGAUCUGUUGGGAAUCUAGUCAGAUUAGAGAUGAUCUUCAAUCUGGCUUUACUCCCUACAUCACAAUGAAUCAGGUCUGAAAGAAGAGUUGAGCUGCUCUUCACCUGGAUUGUCCUGCUUGUGUCCCAAGGCUGGUUUCCUUGCCGAGAUGUGUAAGUCAGCUCUUUUAUAGGCUGGCCUAAAGAAAAGAAAAAGAAACAGAAGCAACUUGGUAUAGCUGUGGCAUCCUGAUUUCUUCAGGUGGCCCCCUCCAAAGCAUAUAGAAUUUAUUUGGAGCAUUUGCAGUUACUGGCUGUAGCAUCAGUGGGAUUGGUACUGCAGAUAUGUGCUUGGUUGACUGUCACAUUUUUGAACAUUUUCCCACUCAGGGCACAUGGAAGCAUAUUUCUAUUAGAAACAAGUGCAGCAUGAGUAGAAAAUCUGGCCAUGUUAAAUGGCCAGGAAUUAUCACAUAAUGUGUAUAUUUAUAUAAUGCUGGAAAUGACCAGGCAGCCUGGCUGUGUUAGGUCAUCCCGCUGCUCACCAAAGAAGUUUGAAAUGGACUUUUAAUUAUAAUUGCUGAUUUGCUGUGAGUAUAUUCUUUAAUGUGAUAUCUGAUUAGGUUAAUUUUCUUUAAUUGAUGAAUAAAGCACUUAAACUUGUAGGCUUGAGUUUGUUGUUACAUACUGGCAAUUUUAUGUUCUGACUUGUGCUGGAGUACAAAUUACAGGCACUCCUUGUCUGUUUUAGUUUUGAGGUCACUGUUCUUCCUUCCUUCACCUUUGUGUGGCUUUUUAGACUAAUGGAGAUAGAGCAGGGCUAAGUGACUAUUAAAUUCUUUUCCAUAUACAGUAAAAGCCAUUAACAUGGACCUCACUAAAUUUGGAAUUUAUGAAAAUGAGGGCAGGGCCUGGGUUAAAGUUUACUUUUGCAUUGUCUCUGAACUAAAGCUUUGCUGAGCUAAUAAAGAGUAUAAAUAAGAUUAUAGGGGGAUGGCACUAUUGAUUUAAAAAGUGGACUUUUGAAGCUUGUCAGAGAAAAAGCCUUGUAAGAGAAGUAAUGAAAUAGUGUGCAGAAUGACACAGUGCAAAUCCUGGGCCACUUACUAGCCAUGUGACCUUAAUUUCUCUUGAAUAUUUCCUUCAUCCAUAAAAUGGAGAUAGUUAUCUACUUUAUAGGGUUGCUGUGAGGGUUAGGAUUAAUGUAUAGAAAGUGACUAGUGUGAAGUAGUUACUUCAUAAAUGGCAGGUAAUUAUUGCCAACCUAAAAUACAUGGUAAGCUGAUUUCAAAUACUUUUCAUUUUUUUUCUAAAGCAAGGUAGCUUGGAACUUCACAGUUUGUUAACAUCACCUGAGAUAUUGCUUUAUUAUUAUUCUUGUUACUUGAUUGAAGGAAAACCCUGGCAUUUGGUGGUUGUAAAGAGCAGGAGUUUGGGAGUCAGAUAAACUCAGGUUUGGAAGCAGUACUACUGCUUAUUAGCUAUGUGGCCCUGGGCAGAUUACUGAAUGUCUCUCCAGUUUUGUGUUCUAAUUUGUAAUAAUGAGAGCUUAGUACUGUUUUAGUGCAUUUAUGCUGCUGUAACAAACUACCUUAAAUUAGAUAAUAUAUGAAGAAUAGAAAUAUCUAUCUCACAGUUGUAGAGAUUGGAAAGUCCAGGAUCCAGCAUCUGGCAAGGGUGUCUACUUGCUGCAUCCUCACUUGGUAGAAGAGGAGGGGGUGGGGAGAGGGAAAAUAGAGGGAGGUAGGGAGAGAAGGGAGUGAAAUUCUUCUUUAAAAUAGCACCAAUCCUACCUGUGAGUUUGGAGUUUCCACCACUAUCAUCUUUUAAAUUUCCACCAUUUAAUACUGUUACAAUGGCAAUUAAAUUUCAAGAUGAGUUUUGGAGGGGGCAGAAAAUUCAAACCAUAGCAAUAUCUGCUCCAGGACUGUCUUGAAGACUAAAUGAAAUAAUGCAUGUAAAGUGUUCAGCUCAGUGCUUUUCAUGUAGUAAAUUAUCAAAUGUCAGCUGUUGUUGCUAUCUUUUGAUGAUUGUCCACACAUUACACUUUUCAUUCAUUUAGACUUGUCUUCUUCAGUUCACCCACAUUCAUGAAUUUGACUCUAGCUAUAAUUUCUCUUCUGGGUGAGAAUUUUAAGCAUGUGAAAAUGCCUUUAUAAAUAGGGGUGAAAAGAGAAAGAAUAGAAUUUUUAAAGUGGGGGCAUGAAGAACUAAAAGUUAGACCUAAAUUACUGCAUGGUGAAUUUGGUAGAUAAUCUUUGUGUCCUUUAUUAGAGGUCUUUAUAUUAGUUAGAAAUAAAUGGAACUUUAUACAUAAGUAGUAACAAGAACAGAGCAUUGGCCAGCUCAUAGCAUUCAUUGAGAGAGAAAAACAGUAAGUCCUAGCCAGACUUUAUUUUCAUCUUUCUGCUUUUCUCUUACCUUGCACUGGCUAUAUGGGGAGAAAUGUAAACAACAUAAUGUACUGCAUUGAGACUAUGAUAUAUCCUCCCCUUAAUGACAGGCUUGCACAGUGUGUAGACUCCUCAACUCAAUGGGUCAGACUGAAUUACUUCAAGGACUGGCAAAUGGGUGCCACUGGUGGUGAAAUGAAAGCAGCCAGGUACAAGUGUUUAUUAAGUGCUCAUCAUCAGGAGAAACAUAUUCUCUUCCAUGCUAUUUUGUAGAAGUGUGAAGUACCCAUUUUCCUUUGUAAAAACAGAAGAAUUACAUUUCUUGAGAUUCUUUACUAUAACAAUACAAAUUUACAAUCAUAGAUAUGUUAUAAAACCAAGGGUUUUUUUUUUUUUUUUUGUAUUAUGCAUGAACAGUGUGACUUUGUGAUAAUACUAGUGGGGACAGACCAAUAUUAGUGGGGCAGACCAGUUUUAUUGGGCCAUGUGCCUUUGGCUUUCCAAGACUGCCCAAGUUAAGUAUGUCAUUAAAAAAGUUGUCAAUUUAUUAAGAUGACAAUCAGUGGUUCAACAUAUGAGUUUUUAUAUACAUAAAUUCACAAGUCAGAAAAAAACUUUUGUCAGACCAUGUUGUCGAAGACUUUGGUAGAAAAUGUCAUCAGUCUGAUGCACACCAUGCUAAUUAGCUGUUUUAUAUCAGUUUUUUGUUGGAAGUACUGAAUUGUUAACUGGUAAGGUAUGGCAUUAUGUAUCUAAAUCUGGUAUGUCAGCAAUAUCAGGGAUAUCGAAUGCUUACUACAUGCAGGCACUGUGCUAGAAACUGGGGAUACAAUAAGAAUAGCAACAAUAAAAUGGCCUGGUCUCCUAUAGCUAACAAUAGCCCUUUGACAUGGAAAUAGACAAAAAAAUAAGUUUAUGGAGUUUAAGUGAUUUGUCCAAGGUUGGACACCUGUAAAAUGGCAGAACUGGAAUUACAGUGCUGUAUUUGUAACAGCAGCCUAACCUAUAUCCUGGUUAAGAGAUCACAUAAUAUAAUGGCUUAAACAAAAUAGAAGGAGCUCUUUGGCACAAUGGGGCUGCUGAAUCAGCUCUGAAGUCAUUAUGUAUAGACUUUGGUUAAUGGAAAAAUAGAACUUCUAUCUUAGUCCUCUGCUGUCCCUGGAUAUUGGCCUCAUUAAUAUAUCUGAAGGUACUUAAGUGUUCUAAGGGCAUUCCUGGAAGUGGGUAUUCCUAACUUCUGUUUGUGAACAGGCCCUACCUAGUUGCCAGGAGGGCCUGAAAAUAAUCUUUGAAGACAUGCACCCCUUAAAAUUCAGGGUCUUUACUAAGGAAGAGGGGGAUAAUUGGAAGUCUGUGUUACCUGCUAAUGAAAGUGUUGUUUCAAAGUGUAAUUUUGGCUAUAGAAUUGUCCAAAUAACAGUGGUCUUGUGACUUUGGGUAUGCUUAAAUCCAUUAUCCAUUUUUUCAAGUAAUAUCAUAUCAAGGUUAUGCAUAUAUGUAUGCAGUGUGUGUAUGAUAUAUUUAAAUAUUCAAAAUAUGUGAGAUAUCAUGCAUUUUACAUGAUUCCUCAGUAAAUUCUGGCCAUCUGCAAGUGCUGAUGCAGAAUUUCACACUAGAAGUCCACUGGCUUUACUCUUUGGCAGAAAGGCUUGCAAAACCCCCAGGAUUUGUCUUGCUUGCAUCCUCACUCUCAAAAAGGUCUCAAAGAUCUAUGUUGUAAGAAAUGUGUUCUCAGAGAAAUGCCUUCAUAGAAAUAAAAUUAUUCUAAGGUUUUUCAGUAAGCUGUAUACUCAGUACAUCAAUCACAAACAACUCUGAUCCAGAACUUGUUUCUCAGAAUUCUUGAUCUAUUCUGAUGUUUAGACAUUUACCAUUGACUAUUGAAAAAGCAAUUAAUAUAUAUUUAUUGAGAUAAUAUGUAGAUAUUAGUUUAUUGAGGUGGAUCCACAGAUGCUUGCCUAGGUGGCAUAUAGGCCCACAGGUAAUUGGAGGAGAUAAGUACUGGAUAGACCUUAGGUACACACUCAUGUCUUCUCACACUAUCUGGACCCUGGCUCCUGCCCCUAGAUCUUACUCAGUUGCUUCUGGGACACAUGGAGCCUUACAUAUGUACAGGCCUCCUUGGUUCUUUUCCUCUGGGUCUACUUUUUAGAUCUUAUUUCCCUGUUGUCAACAUGAAGUAGGAGAAGAAAAGGAUAAAGGCUUAAUAUACAGCUCGUCUAAUUAGUCUGCCCUAGGCCUUAUCUUGGGAGGCAGAGUGAUAUUUGUGUGUCUGUAGAGGGGACUCCUAAGUAGGAGGCAGUUCCAAAGCAGUUUUAUGACCCUGGCUCCAAGAAGUAGAAAGAAGCAAUCUAAAGAGAGUGAGAGUCUAAGAGUCAAAACCCUAAAGAGACCAAGCCUGCAGAAAUUAAAGCUUUAAUAUUUUCUCUCAAUAUAGCUAGAGCUCCACCUGCUUAUAAGAGGUUUAGCUGAGUAGGUGACUUGAUUCAGUGACCUUGUGUCUUUUUUUCCUUGGGAGUGGGGCUGGCUGGGCAGGCAGAGAGGCCAGGAGGAGAGUGGAAUUUACUGUCCUUGUGCCUCUGCAGGUCAGCACUGGGUACUGUGGAGGGUACCACCAUAAGUGUAAGACGUGGUCUUUGUUCCAGUUCUCAAAUAACUGCCAGUCUAUCUGGGGAUCUAGUGUAUAUGAACCAUUUAGUGAAAAUCAAGUACUGAACAGUGUGAUAUUGAUUAUUCCAAAGGAAUACAGAUGAUAAAUCAGUGUGAAUUUUUGUCUUGGGGAAGGCUUCUUAGAUUGUGUCACAAGUGGAGUGCUAAAGGAUGAAAAAAAGCUAAUUAAGAAGAAUGCAGGGGCUGAGGUUGUGGCUCAGCAGUAGAGCAUUUGCCUAGCACGUGCAAGGCCCUGGGUUGGAUCCUCAGCAUCACAUAAAGAAAAUAAAUUAAAAAUAUAAAGGUAUGUAAGAAAAAGGUGAAGAAUGCAGAAGAGAGGAUGUGAACAAAGAUUCAGAAUGGUUUUCAGGUCAGCAGACCUAUGCACUUGAAGCAGAGACUUCAUGUAAUAAAGUAGAAUAGGAAAGUGAAAGACUUCAAAAAUCAAAUGUGACUAGCACAUAAGAACCCAUAUAAGAUUUUUAAAAAAAAAAAACAAAACAAAACAAAGUUAAUGUUAGCUUUUUAAAUUUUUCAUGGAAUGAAAUAAGAGUAAAUUAAUUAAUGACUGACUAAUUGGAUGAUAUAUAUAUAUGUGUGUGUGUAUAUAUAUAUAUAUAUAUAUGCACUAUAUUUUUACAAUACAUAGAAUGCAAUGUAUAAAAUGAUAUAUAUUAUAUAUACACAGAAAUUAGAAAACAUUGUAGUGUUAUAAUUUAUCCAUGGAGGGCAGAGGGCAUUCUUGUGAAAGAUCUCAAAAUAUAGGUUUCUAGGGAACAGAACAGGACGAAGGCAAGUUUAGAUGUGAGGUGACUGGUUCAAGGAUUGGUAUCUGAAGAGUUCAGCAUGAGAUGUGACUAGCUGAACUACAGAAAACAGGUGAGGUUCAGAGUCAGGCAUGGUGGUAUGGUAGUGGGCAACCUCAUUGCAGCUGUAUGCCAGCCAGCAGCCAGGGUUCUGGAAAGGAAUCUAGGGAAGGGUUGUAUUAGAAUUCUAGUCAAGAAGAUUUAGAUUCAGGGCAAAGCAUAGGGCAUUGUUGCCAAUAGGAAAGCUGGUGAAGGUAGAAGCCAGGUCUGAGGACUGAGCCAACGUAUCAGGAAUUAGAACCAGAGCAAGAGAUGAUAAAUUACUGUAAACUCAGCACAAUUCUAUGCAUUGCGGCCAAUGAAAGAAUUCUGGCCUAUUUGGUAGGCUGAAAUUGCUUCCUUCUAGUCUGAGCCAAUGAAGAUGGGUUGAAGGUGAUAGCAAUGCUGAGCCUUCUAGAGACUUCAGGAAUGGCUGAGGUGGAAGGCCAGGGGAGGCUGUAUUACUUGAUAAGAGUUGAGAUGAUGCAGAGGACACCUAGUCACAGUAAGGAGGCUGGCAUAGUCCAGGCUGAAGAGAACAGUGCCUGACUGAGGAGAGGUGGUAGAAAUGCAGGAGAAAAGGGAUGGCGAAGGACAUUUCCAAUUAAGAAGUCAGUAGGCUUCAGUGACAAGUUUGCUAUCAUGGACAGAGAAGGCAGAACCUGAAAUGAUUUCAGGUGGAUUUUAAAUGCUUGAGUAAUAUGACAUUUUCUCUCGUGAGCUGAAGGGGUUUUCAUGUACAAAUGCAAUUAUUUUGGCCUAUUUUAAAAAACCCAAAUAAAGUAAAGUAGUAAGCAAAUCAAUGCUAGGCUUACUUGUGGGUUUGUUGGCUUUACAUCUCAUUCCUGUGGGUCUGCAUAGGGCCAUUUCAGAGCAACAGUCACCCAGAGCAUGGGAAUAAUUAGAAAGUGUCCUUGUAAAGAUGUGUCCUUCCUGGCCCAAGAUGGUACACUGACGUUCAUGUACACAGGCAUGAUUGAAAAGCCCAAGGUGGGACCCAUGUGGAUCCUGCCAUGCUGCUCUCAUGGGGCCUUUGCUGCUGUAGCUGUUUGAGGUGUUGUUCUGUGCCUCUUUGACCCACCUGGCUGGAUCAGCCUUUGCUGAAGAACAUGUGCUCCUGCCUGGUGGCAGCUUCACAACUGGCUUCUCUAUCUGCAGCUGUUUUUUCCCAGCUAUUCAUGUGGUGUCACACAAAAGGAAGCACGCAGGGACUUCACUAUUCACAAAGGAGGAUGGCUGAGACCUCAAGGGGGACACUAUUUCUCUUUGUCAGGGCAAAUACAGAAUCCUUACUUGGGUUGGGAAAAUUUCUUUUUAUAGGUAUGUGAUAUUUCUCUUUUUAUUAGGUUUAAGUCUGCAUAUGGGGGUGAAAUGGAUUUCGGAAUCAUUACACAAAGUAGGGAAAAAAAUUUAAACAGCAGUAUCACUAUAAAUGACCCUGGUUGUAUUUUUGAAAUGUUGAGCUAAAUAUAUUUUAGUGAUCAGUGAAAGGCCAACUUUGGCACUUUUGAAAAUUUGUUCUUUGAAAGGCCUGGAUUAAUCAUCAGUUUCCAUUUUGUUCACAGAUGUACUGCUUCCAGAACUUGGGGGACAGCCACUGAAUUUCUGCUUCAAAUCACCUCUCACUGGAAAUAGAACCAUUGGAGAAUCAUCUUGUUACCUUCAGUAAAGGAAACGAAUCAAGGCAUUGAGAAUGCCACAGUGGUGGGCAGCCACACCAGCUUUGCAGAGGAAGUUUUCAAGACAGUGCAGCUCACGAGCCAGAAACCAGCAAAGACUGAACCCAUCCUUUUCGUUUCAGCUGCUCCUUAAAUUAACGCAACCCCUUCAAAUUAAUGUGAAUUGAAACAUGCAUUGCCUUUCAACUUAAUUGAGUACUUACUAUGUGUGAAUCACUGCACAAAAUAGGGGAGAGAAAUAGAGGGAGACAAAUAAGAUGUGGAGCCUGCCUUCAAUGAAUUUACAAUUAGUUUCAUGUUGCUUAUUUUUUUCUUCUGCUCUUAAUUAGGUGUGUCCCCAAGACAAGAAACAAAUGAGUGGAAAAGUGUAUUCUGUAAGUAUUUAAAGUCCCAUUAAUGAAAAACAAAAUUAAACAAAUUAUAACAACACAACAAACUCAUGUGGGCAACUCAGGACAUUUUAAUUUCAUUUUUUUGGUUCGACUUUUGAUGGAUAAGUUCCAUUUUAUUUUACUUAUUUAUCUUAUUUUGUGGUAUUCAGUGGAUGUUAGAGACAUUAAUAUGUAGUUUGAGUUAAUAUUUUUUGAAGGGUGGUAACAGGGAUUGAACUCAGGAUCACUCUGAGCCACGGAGCCACAUCCCCAGCCCUAUUUUGUAUUUUAGUUAGCACCUCGCUUUUUCUGAGGCUGGCUGUGAACUCUCCAUCCGCCUGCCUCAGCCUCUUGAGCCAUUGGGAUUACAGGUGUGUGCCACUGCGCCCGGCUAGAGUUAAUUUGAAUUAAGUUCUAUAUUUUUUUCCUUUAGGUGUAGAUCAUCUGUUGGCAAAGUGUAUUGUUUGUCCAUUUCUUAGUGAGUGAGAAGGUGAAUCACACCUGUUGUCUCUACAGGUAUCAACCCUCCAUGUCCUCAGGUCUUAUAUUCUGUGUGUCACUAGCAUGGAGAAAAGGAGGAUGUGAAACUUGGGGUGGUACUCCUGGACCCCAGAUUGGACAGGGAAGGAGCAAAACCCACCUGGGCAAUGGCUGUCUGUGAAAAUUUGACUAAGUAGUUAUUUCAUUGUUCAUUGUGUUGUCCUCUGUGUUCCCUAAGUUGAAUGACUACAAUUUUUCUAAAAAUUUAUUUCUGAUUUGAGACUAAGUGUAACUUGUGAUUUUUCCAGUGUUAAGGCUUUGACAUGACUGUAGACACUAGACAUUUUAUGUAGUGUCUGUGACACAUUUUAGUAUGUAUGAGCCAACAAUAGACAUGUCUUUCGUCUUGAGUAGUGUCCAUCUGAAUUGAAAAUGUGCCAGCUUUUUUUUAACAUCAUCAACAGACUUCUUAAUUAAACUGCCAAUACAUACUGCCAAUAGCACUGUGUGCUGUCUGAGAAAUGAAUGAUGAAAGUGCUGCUUCCAUCUUAUUAAACAAUGCUGCUGCACAUAUAAUGGAUUUAAAGUGCUCUUUGAGUGGGGUACUAUAUUGCUCCCUCUAUAAUUUGAUGAGAAUUCUCAUACCCUCUCUUUUAAUUUCCAAAAAUUACUAUUUUGUUCUUCAGUGAGGAAUAGCUCUAAUUUGACCAGUAACUGCUUAUAUGAUUCCUCCUUAGUAGGAUGAAUUGCCCCAUACCAAACUGUUCAUUAUGAUAGUGUAUAUUUAUGUCACUUUUAGUUUGCAUGAUGUAGCUUCCAGGAAUUCUUGGUUAUCAGCUUGUGUUAUACCUAACUUUAUAUCCUAUUCCCCAUACUGGGAGAUUUUUUUGGAGCAUAAUCUCUUCAUUCCUGAUGCCUACCUAACAUAGUACCUGGUGUAUAGUAGGUGUACAUUCAGUUUGGUGAUUAUGGAAUGUAAAGUAGCUCUUUCACUGUGGAUCUUAAGGCUCUAUAAAAGAUGGGGGAGGGUCUUGCUAAUGGAAUAUUACCUUUCUUGGUUUGUAGUUUACAGUCAAUCUUCUGAGGAUGAACUUAAGUAAAGAACAUUUUCAUACAGUCUAGUCCCCUGGGCCUCUUAAAUGGUGCCAUGGGGUCACUAGUUCAGCCCUAUUUGUACCCAGGUCCACUCUGCUGCCACUGGCCCUUGCUCCAUUCUCCACAUAGGGUGGGGCCUUUAAAGAGGCUGCUCCACUUUUUUUUUUCCUCCAGCUUCUCUAUCACUAGAAUAAAAAGCACUCAUCCAUGGGGUACUCAUGAUAUGCUAGGCACUAAGUGCUUUAUAUGUAUUCUCUCAAUUAUCUCAUUUAAACUUCACAACAUCCAAGUGAAAUAGGCACCACCUAUCACAGAGGUAUGUCUUGCUUAAGGCAUGGAUAUCAAAAUCCAGAUCUCUUAUACUCCAAAGACUGAUCUGUUAACCCCUACCCUCUGUUGCAUCCCAGGAGAAAUUUUGGUGCCUGGUGAAUGCAAGCAUGUGUGUGCUUAAUAUAUGUGUAGGGGCAGAUCAAAUCUGGAUAAAGUCCAGAUUCACUGCAUUUAAUAUUCUUGAAUGACACACUGUCUAACAGAUAAAAACCCAACAAAUCACAGUUGUUUGAAGAAUGGGGGAAGGGCUGAGCAAUUG
rnacentral:lncRNA from 1 species